rnacentral:rRNA from 1 species
UAAGCAGUAGGGGGCAUUAGUAUUCCGGGGCGAGAGGUGAAAAUUCUAGACCGUCGCAAGGCUAAGUAAAGGGAAAGCAUUUGCCAAGGCAGUUUUCAUUGAUCAAGAACGAAAGUUAGAGGGUGGAAGGCGACUAGAUACCUCCCUAGUUUUAACGGUCAACGAUGGCAGUCAGCAAUUGGAGGUCAUUAAUUUUCAUGGUGCCUUCCGCAGCUUUCCGGGAAACCAAAUCUAGUUUCCGGGGGAAGUCUGGUGCAAAGUGAAACUAAAGGAAUGACG